ACAGACUGCUUUUUAAGUGUAUUUAGAGCCCCACAGCACUUUAGCAUUAGGUGGCAAGGCUUCCUGGAGCUCAAGUUCUGACAACUGGGAUCAGCAAUUCUCUGGCUAGGGCUGGUUUUACUACUCCCUCUGUGGGUUGGCAUCAGCUGAGUUUGGUCUGAUUUUGCUUUCUGCUAUAACAGGUCAUCACUGAGAUUUAUACAAUAAAACCAGGUGAGCACUUGGGAUAUUUCAGAUGUUUCCCUGUUGUAAUGAAGCUUUUUAAAAAUGCUUUGCAAGUCUUUGGUUGUUUUUCAGUGACCCUCCAGAGGACUAAAGGAAAGUUUUGCUUCGCCCCUACAGUUUUGGCACUGUGAGCAGUAUACCAAAACUACUCCACCCUUCCGAAAGCCACAGUGAAGAAAACCCAAGGCCUGACAAGCCAGCAGAAGUGCAAAAAAGUUUUACCAAUCAGGUCAUUAGCCUCUAGCUCUGUGGAAUCUGGUUGAGUUCAUGACUGAUAGGUGGGAGGAACUUGCCUUGAGUCUCAAAUGAGAUUGGACUUUGAACCUUCAAGUUGAUGCUGGAAUGACUUAACAUUUUUGUGGACUAUUUGGAAGAGAUUAUUAUAAUUUGCAAGGACACAACUGAAGACAAUACUUAUUUUUACCAAGGAUUUGAUUGGAACUUUAUACUUUAAAAUGUGAUCAGACUGCUUUUAAUAAUUGACAUUGACUUUAUAAAGCCAAUAGAUGUAGAAAAAGACAGCUUGUACCUUGUCUACAUGGCUUUUUUUUACCGGACUCCUGAUCUUGUCGUAAGGAAAGAAUGUCACUUUCUAGCAGGUGAGAACCUCAAGAUCUAUGGAAAACUCCAAGAAAAAAAAUUUACCCAAUACACACAGGCAUUACAGGCACAAUCUGUUAUGAAAUCCUUGGCUUGGCUCUUCAGGCUCAAGAGGCUUUUGAAAGUCUAACUUGAGACAGGAGGUGGAGUAAGAUGGCUGAAUAGAAGCCAGCAGCAAUUAUCUUACUAUAGUCACACCAAAGUGAACAAUUGUACACACAAGAAAGCACCUUUAUAAGAACCAAGAAAGAAUCAGGUGAGUGAUCACAGUAUUUGGUUUUAACAUAAUAUCAAGGAAAGAGUAACUGAAAAGGGCAGAAAAGACAAUUUUGUAUUGCCUACACAAUCCUUCCCCCUUCCCCAAGGAGCGUGAAAAGAG
rnacentral:lncRNA from 10 species